GAUGAACGCUGGCGGCGUGCCUAACACAUGCAAGUCGAACGAAGCAAUCGGAGGAAGUUUUCGGAUGGAAUCUUGAUUGACUGAGUGGCGGACGGGUGAGUAACGCGUGGAUAACCUGCCUCACACUGGGGGAUAACAGUUAGAAAUGACUGCUAAUACCGCAUAAGCGCACGCUACCGCAUGGUAGUGUGUGAAAAACUCCGGUGGUGUGAGAUGGAUCCGCGUCUGAUUAGCCAGUUGGCGGGGUAACGGCCCACCAAAGCGACGAUCAGUAGCCGACCUGAGAGGGUGACCGG
rnacentral:rRNA from 1 species